AGCUUUGCGCAGUGGCAGUAUCAUAGCCAAUGAGGUUUAUCCGAGGUGUGAUUAUUGCUAAUUGAAAAUACCACCCUAAAUUUGCUUCCCUUUCUAUUCUGUAGUAAACACUAAAGAAUCCAUUCUGGCCCUGUGCUCCCA